rnacentral:rRNA from 1 species
CCCGCUGAACUUAAGCAUAUAACUAGGCGGAGGAAAAGAAACUAACUAGGAUUCCCUCAGUAACGGCGAGUGAAGCGGGAAAAGCUCAGACGUGUAAUCUUCGGAAUUGUCGUCUGGAGAAGCUAGAUGAAGCUGGGAAGGUAAGCCAAGUCUCCUGGAACGGAGCGCCACUGAGGGUGACAGCCCCGUUUAUGCUUACUGGAAAGGCCUAAUUCUGCUUUCAACGAGUCGAGUUGUUUGGGAUUGCAGCUCUAAGUGGGUGGUAAAUUCCAUCUAAAGCUAAAUAUUGGUAGGAGACCGAUAGCGAACAAGUACCGUGAGGGAAAGAUGCAAAGAACUUUGAAAAGAGAGUGAAAGAGUACCUGAAAUUGCUGAAAUGGAACCGAUGGGACGCAGUGUUGCCAGUGGAUUCAUUCGUGGAUCUCUGCUAGUUAAGCUCUCUUGAUGCAUGCGGGAAAGGCUUCGGGACCUGUUAUUGGGACCGUUUCUUGCCAUCGUGUGUUUGAGAUGAUCCUUGACGAAAUGCGUCUUAUCAUCCCGUCUUGAAACACGG